ACUGCAGUCCACAGUACCCGCUGCCCAUGUGCCAGGACAGAAGUCUACAGUAGCCAACAGCCCAACACAUCCAUCCAUCCACCGGCCGUCAUGCCGCUCCGGCGCCUCCUGGACCUCUCCGCCACCGUCUCCGACCUGCUCCGCCGCUCCCUCUCCACCGCCGCCGCCCCCUCGCACCCACCAUGGGCGAUCGUCGACUACACGUCCAUGGUGGACCGCUCCUCGUCGGCCCCGGGCGCGUGCUUCCACCCCGUCGCGCCCCCGGGCAUCUCCCACGUCACGGCCCCGGCGCACCUCGUCAGCCCCAGGGCGCGCCCCGCCCCCGACACCAACGUCGUCCAGGUCCUCUUCGGCAACGUCGGCGCCGCCAGCGGCGACGGCCACCUCCUCCUCAGCUACCACGACCUCCGGGCGGAGGGCCCCUGCACCACCUGGGACCUGUCCGCGCCCCCGGAAAUCCAGCGCUUCGUCUGCAACCCCCUCACCGGCCAGAUGCUCCGCCUGCCGGACAUUGGCGGCUCCCGGAGGACCCUCGUCUUCCACCACAUGGGCCUCCUCACCCAGGCCGACGGCUGGCUCGGGCGCGGGCCGCCCCACAGAUUCGCCGUCGCCGAGCUUGCCUUCCAUGGCGCCGGCCUCGAGCGGUUUCUCUCGGAGAAAGGGGAGUGGGAGACGGUGAUGGGCGUGCCGUGCGGGCCGCCGCCCCCGCGCGGGAUGGAGGUCAACCAGGAGACGGUUGCCUUCGGCGGCCGCCUGUGGUGGGUCGACCUCACCUUGGGCGCCGUCUCCGUCGACCCCUUCGCCGACCGGCCGGAGAUCCGCUUCGUCGAGCUGCCCAGCGGCAGCGUGCUGCCUGCGCGUGCUCGUACGGAAGAGGAUGGAGAUCUCAGGAAGGUCGAUGACCGGGGGCUCUUCUUGCGGGAGGUGGCCAAGCACCGGCGCAUUGGCGUGAGCAAGGGGCGGCUGCGCUACGCCGAGGUCUCUCCUCACGACCCGUUCCUGCUCAGCUCCUUUGCGCUCGACGGCGACGAGGGCGGCGGCUGGACGCUGGAGCACCAGGUGGAGCUCAGACAGGUGUUGGCGGACGGAGGCUACCCGUGGCAGGAGAACUCGGCGCAGGCGGCGCCGCAGAUCGUCGUCCUUGACCCGCUGAACGCCAACGCCAUCUACCUCAAGGUCGGCGAGCACGUCGUCGUGGUGGACAUGCACAACGGCAAGGUGAUAGGGGCCUCUCCGCUUCAGGACGAGUACUCUCUUGUGCCGUGCGUGCUCCCGCCAUGGCUUGCAUCGAGCACGAUCCCUACGGCAGGCAAGAAGGAUGGCAUGGAACCGACAGAUGAUCCGGUUAAUUUGUCUUAGAUAUGAUCAAUGGGUAUGCAUUAAUCUACCAGCCAGCUUAUGUAUCUCUGGGUUUCAUGGAACUAAUACUAGAUGGAGGGUUGAACAAAUACUAGGAAGGAAGCUGGCGGUAGUUUGUCAAACUCUCAUUUUGGUGGGAAUCUGAAGAAGUAUGGGUUUAUCGUAGGUUACUGAUUAAUUACUACUUCCUCCAUCCGGAAUUAGUUGAUUCUCAAACGGGUGUAUCUAGCAUUAAAAUACGUCUAGAUACAUCCGUUUGAACGUCUACUAAUUCCAAACGGAGGGAGUAUCUUGUUUCGAGGGAAAUCUGGUAGCUGUUCCGGCCGCCAAACUAGGACAUUCCAGUAGAACUAAAUUAAAUCUGGCAGUUGUUUCGUUCACGAAAAUGACUCUCAAGUCCUUGCCAAGUUUGCGGAAUGAAGGUAAUUUUCACUGUUGUGAAGCUGCAUACUGCCAUCUUAUCUGACAUCAAAGAGCUGCUUAUGAUGUUUAGCAA